rnacentral:antisense_RNA from 11 species
AAUAAGCAAAUGUGACACUUGAGCUAAGUUCCAAGUUGAUAAUUUUUCRUUUUCUUACCUUUCAUAUCUUGAAGUACAGUUGUCAAAUACACCUCUGAAUAAAGAACCACAAAUACUAGAGAAACRAACACCUAUACCUAACAAGAGUAAGUGAAUUUUAAAAUUGCAGUCAUUUUAUUUCUGUCUUUCCA